UACGUAGGGGACAAGCGUUGUCCGGAUUUACUGGGCGUAAAGAGCGCGCAGGCGGUCGUUCAAGUCGAGUGUGAAAGCCCCCGGCUCAACUGGGGAGGGUCACUCGAUACUGAUCGACUUGAAGGCAGGAGAGGGAAGCGGAAUUCCCGGUGUAGUGGUGAAAUGCGUAGAUAUCGGGAGGAACACCAGUGGCGCAAGCGGCUGCCUGGGUAUGACCUGACACUGAGCCACGACGGCGUGGGGAGCAAACGGG
rnacentral:rRNA from 1 species